CAGUACCGCGGUAACACGAAGGGGGCUAGCGUUGCUCGGAAUCACUGGACGUAAAGGGUGCGUAGGCGAGUCUUUUAGUCAGGGGUGAAAUCCUGGAGCUCAACUCCAGAACUGCCUUUGAUACUGAAGAUCUUGAGUUCGGGAGAGGUGAGUGGAACUGCGAGUGUAGAGGUGAAAUUCGUAGAUAUUCGCAAGAACACCAACGACGAAAGCACUCUGCUGGGUCGACACUGACACUGAGAGACAAAAGCUAGGGGAGCAAAUGGGAUUAGAUACCCCAGUAGUCCCUGUCUCUUAUACA
rnacentral:rRNA from 1 species